UGAGGAAUAUUGGUCAAUGGGCGAGAGCCUGAACCAGCCAAAUCGCGUGAAGGAAGACUGCCUUAUGGGUUGUAAACUUCUUUUAUACAGGAAUAAAAAACGGGGACGUGUCCCUUAUUGCAUGUACUGUAUGAAUAAGCAUCGGCUAACUCCGUGCCAGCAGCCGCGGUAAUACGGAGGAUGCGAGCGUUAUCCGGAUUUAUUGGGUUUAAAGGGUGCGCAGGCGGGCUUUUAAGUCAGCGGUGAAAUCUCGGGGCUUAACCCCGAAACUGCCGUUGAAACUGGGAGUCUUGAGUAUGGAUGAAGUAGGCGGAAUUCGUUGUGUAGCGGUGACAUGCUUAGAUAUAACGAGGAACUCCGAUUGCGUAGGCAGCUUACUAAGCCAUAACUGACGCUCAAGCACGAAAGCGUGGGGAUCAAACAGGAUUAGAUACCCUGGUAGUCCACGCCGUAAACGAUGAUUACUAGUUGUAUGCGAUAUACCGUAUGUGACUAAGCGAAAGCGAUAAGUAAUCCACCUGGGGAGUACGCCGGCAACGGUGAAACUCAAAGGAAUUGAC
rnacentral:rRNA from 1 species